rnacentral:rRNA from 1 species
AUUGAACGCUGGCGGCAGGCCUAACACAUGCAAGUCGAACGGUAACAGGAAACAGCUUGCUGUUUCGCUGACGAGUGGCGGACGGGUGAGUAAUGUCUGGGAAACUUCCUGAUGGAGGGGGAUAACUACUGGAAACGGUAGCUAAUACCGCAUAACGUCGCAAGCCCAAAGAGGGGGACCUUCGGGCCUCUUGCCAUCGGAUGUGCCCAGAUGGGAUUAGCUAGUAGGUGGGGUAACGGCUCACCUAGGCGACGAUCCCUAGCUGGGCUGAGAGGAUGACCAGCCACAAUGGAACUGAGACACGGUCCAGACUCCUACGGGAGGCAGCAGUGGGGAAUAUUGCACAAUGGGCGCAAGCAUGAUGCAGCCAUGCCGCGUGUAUGAAGAAGGACUUCGGGUUGUAAAGUACUUUCAGCGGGGAUGAAGGGAGUAAAGUUAAUACCUUUGCUCAUUGACGUUACCCGCAGAAGAAGCACCGGCUAACUCCGUG